UUGUGUGUUUAUUCUAGAUAAAGCUAUACACAACAGACAAUUAAGUGUAGAAAGACCUCUGGAGGAACAGAUUGCUGAAGCUGAGGCAGACAAGAAUAGGAAAAUAGUUCCCACAGAGAACAAACCAGAGUUCAGAAAUUAUUCCUUUGUUGAUGACUUGAAUCUGCUAAAGUCAGUAGCAGAAAGAGAGAGGAAU